UUAAGCGACUAAGCGUACACGGUGGAUGCCCUGGCAGUCAGAGGCGAUGAAGGACGUGCUAAUCUGCGAUAAGCGUCGGUAAGGUGAUAUGAACCGUUAUAACCGGCGAUUUCCGAAUGGGGAAACCCAGUGUGAUUCGUCACACUAUCAUUAACUGAAUCCAUAGGUUAAUGAGGCGAACCGGGGGAACUGAAACAUCUAAGUACCCCGAGGAAAAGAAAUCAACCGAGAUUCCCCCAGUAGCGGCGAGCGAACGGGGAACAGCCCAGAGCCUGAAUCAGUGUGUGUGUUAGUGGAAGCGUCUGGAAAGGCGUGCGAUACAGGGUGACAGCCCCGUACACAAAAAUGCACAUACUGUGAGCUCGAUGAGUAGGGCGGGACACGUGGUAUCCUGUCUGAAUAUGGGGGGACCAUCCUCCAAGGCUAAAUACUCCUGACUGACCGAUAGUGAACCAGUACCGUGAGGGAAAGGCGAAAAGAACCCCGGCGAGGGGAGUGAAAAAGAACCUGAAACCGUGUACGUACAAGCAGUGGGAGCACGCUUAGGCGUGUGACUGCGUACCUUUUGUAUAAUGGGUCAGCGACUUAUAUUCUGUAGCAAGGUUAACCGAAUAGGGGAGCCGAAGGGAAACCGAGUCUUAACUGGGCGUUAAGUUGCAGGGUAUAGACCCGAAACCCGGUGAUCUAGCCAUGGGCAGGUUGAAGGUUGGGUAACACUAACUGGAGGACCGAACCGACUAAUGUUGAAAAAUUAGCGGAUGACUUGUGGCUGGGGGUGAAAGGCCAAUCAAACCGGGAGAUAGCUGGUUCUCCCCGAAAGCUAUUUAGGUAGCGCCUCGUGAAUUCAUCUCCGGGGGUAGAGCACUGUUUCGGCAAGGGGGUCAUCCCGACUUACCAACCCGAUGCAAACUGCGAAUACCGGAGAAUGUUAUUACGGGAGACACACGGCGGGUGCUAACGUCCGUCGUGAAGAGGGAAACAACCCAGACCGCCAGCUAAGGUCCCAAAGUCAUGGUUAAGUGGGAAACGAUGUGGGAAGGCCCAGACAGCCAGGAUGUUGGCUUAGAAGCAGCCAUCAUUUAAAGAAAGCGUAAUAGCUCACUGGUCGAGUCGGCCUGCGCGGAAGAUGUAACGGGGCUAAACCAUGCACCGAAGCUGCGGCAGCGACGCUUAUGCGUUGUUGGGUAGGGGAGCGUUCUGUAAGCCUGUGAAGGUGUGCUGUGAGGUAUGCUGGAGGUAUCAGAAGUGCGAAUGCUGACAUAAGUAACGAUAAAGCGGGUGAAAAGCCCGCUCGCCGGAAGACCAAGGGUUCCUGUCCAACGUUAAUCGGGGCAGGGUGAGUCGACCCCUAAGGCGAGGCCGAAAGGCGUAGUCGAUGGGAAACAGGUUAAUAUUCCUGUACUUGGUGUUACUGCGAAGGGGGGACGGAGAAGGCUAUGUUGGCCGGGCGACGGUUGUCCCGGUUUAAGCGUGUAGGCUGGUUUUCCAGGCAAAUCCGGAAAAUCAAGGCCGAGGCGUGAUGACGAGGCACUACGGUGCUGAAGCAACAAAUGCCCUGCUUCCAGGAAAAGCCUCUAAGCAUCAGGUAACAUCAAAUCGUACCCCAAACCGACACAGGUGGUCAGGUAGAGAAUACCAAGGCGCUUGAGAGAACUCGGGUGAAGGAACUAGGCAAAAUGGUGCCGUAACUUCGGGAGAAGGCACGCUGAUACGUAGGUGAAGCGACUUGCUCGUGGAGCUGAAAUCAGUCGAAGAUACCAGCUGGCUGCAACUGUUUAUUAAAAACACAGCACUGUGCAAACACGAAAGUGGACGUAUACGGUGUGACGCCUGCCCGGUGCCGGAAGGUUAAUUGAUGGGGUUAGCGCAAGCGAAGCUCUUGAUCGAAGCCCCGGUAAACGGCGGCCGUAACUAUAACGGUCCUAAGGUAGCGAAAUUCCUUGUCGGGUAAGUUCCGACCUGCACGAAUGGCGUAAUGAUGGCCAGGCUGUCUCCACCCGAGACUCAGUGAAAUUGAACUCGCUGUGAAGAUGCAGUGUACCCGCGGCAAGACGGAAAGACCCCGUGAACCUUUACUAUAGCUUGACACUGAACAUUGAGCCUUGAUGUGUAGGAUAGGUGGGAGGCUUUGAAGUGUGGACGCCAGUCUGCAUGGAGCCGACCUUGAAAUACCACCCUUUAAUGUUUGAUGUUCUAACGUGGACCCGUGAUCCGGGUUGCGGACAGUGUCUGGUGGGUAGUUUGACUGGGGCGGUCUCCUCCUAAAGAGUAACGGAGGAGCACGAAGGUUGGCUAAUCCUGGUCGGACAUCAGGAGGUUAGUGCAAUGGCAUAAGCCAGCUUGACUGCGAGCGUGACGGCGCGAGCAGGUGCGAAAGCAGGUCAUAGUGAUCCGGUGGUUCUGAAUGGAAGGGCCAUCGCUCAACGGAUAAAAGGUACUCCGGGGAUAACAGGCUGAUACCGCCCAAGAGUUCAUAUCGACGGCGGUGUUUGGCACCUCGAUGUCGGCUCAUCACAUCCUGGGGCUGAAGUAGGUCCCAAGGGUAUGGCUGUUCGCCAUUUAAAGUGGUACGCGAGCUGGGUUUAGAACGUCGUGAGACAGUUCGGUCCCUAUCUGCCGUGGGCGCUGGAGAACUGAGGGGGGCUGCUCCUAGUACGAGAGGACCGGAGUGGACGCAUCACUGGUGUUCGGGUUGUCAUGCCAAUGGCACUGCCCGGUAGCUAAAUGCGGAAGAGAUAAGUGCUGAAAGCAUCUAAGCACGAAACUUGCCCCGAGAUGAGUUCUCCCUGACCCUUUAAGGGUCCUGAAGGAACGUUGAAGACGACGACGUUGAUAGGCCGGGUGUGUAAGCGCAGCGAUGCGUUGAGCUAACCGGUACUAAUGAACCGUGAGGCUUAACCUU
rnacentral:rRNA from 1 species